CCAAGUGACGGGAUCUUGACUGAACCUUCUGGAGACCAAGAAGGGAGUGAGAGCUCCACUUCAUCCUUACAACAGACAUCAAGUGACAGGUACCUGACUGAACCCUCUGGAAACCAAGAAUGGAGUGAGAGAUCCACUUCAUCCUUACAACAGACAUCAAGUGACAGGUACCUGACUGAACCCUCUGGAAACCAAGAAUGGAGUGAGAGAUCCACUUCAUCCUUACAACAGGUUACUACUUCUUAUCAUGAUAUACUAGG